rnacentral:rRNA from 1 species
UACAGAGGGUGCAAGCGUUAAUCGGAAUUACUGGGCGUAAAGCGUGCGUAGUCGGUUAUUUAAGUCGGAUGUGAAAUCCCCGGGCUCAACCUGGGAAUUGCAUUCGAUACUGGAUAGCUAGAGUUCGGCAGAGGGAAGUGGAAUUUCGGGUGUAGCGGUGAAAUGCGUAGAUAUCCGAAGGAACAUCAGUGGCGAAAGCGACUUCCUGGACCAGAACUGACGAUCAGGCACGAAAGCGUGGGGAGCAAGCAGG